CACGUAGGGUGCGAGCGUUGUCCGGAAUUAUUGGGCGUAAAGAGCUCGUAGGCGGUGUGUCGCGUCGGCUGUGAAAACCCGGGGCUCAACCCCGGGCCUGCAGCCGAUACGGGCAGACUAGAGUUCGGCAGGGGAGACUGGAAUUCCUGGUGUAGCGGUGAAAUGCGCAGAUAUCAGGAGGAACACCGGUGGCGAAGGCGGGUCUCUGGGCCGAUACUGACGCUGAGGAGCGAAAGCGUGGGGAGCAAACAGG
rnacentral:rRNA from 1 species